rnacentral:snRNA from 1 species
AGAUUCAAAAACAAACAG